UUUGUGUGUGUGUGUGUGUGUGUGUGUGUGUGUGUGUGUAGUAGUAGUAGUAGUAGUAGUAGUAAUAGUAGGCUAUUUAUAUCUAUCAACCUAUGUAUCUAUUUCCACUAACUUUCCUAUUUAUCUAUCUAUCUAUCUAUUUUACAUCUAACCUUCUUUAUGUACAUUCUAAGUUGGUAUAUCCUUAACCAUAGCGUGUUCGAGCUAUAUACAGUGUCAUAGUAUUAGUGGUAUCUAAAUAACAUGUGCAGCGAUGUGUCUAAACCUUACUACCCACAUUCUAUAACAAAGCACAGUGCAAGAAUACAGUCUUUAUAGAAGUGUCAAAUUCAUAUACAGAGUUAUAGAGAAGGGGACAGCUUAAAACGUGGAUAGUAAGCCUGUGCGAUGGUUUAAAACUGGUCGAGGCAGCUGAGGGCCAAGGGAUCAUCUGGUAGUGCAAGAAUACAGCUAUAAUUUAAAUGCCAAGAGUUAUAUGCAGUGUUAUAGUGAAAUUCGCAGCUGGAAACAUGUGUAGCGUGCGUGUGUGAUGGUUUUAAAUAAGGCGGAGGCGGUGCGUGGCGGUGCGGGUCAGCUGAUAGCCCCAGGAAUCAGCUGUUUGGGCCACGCAGGCUAGCUGGGGUGGUAAGAGUGACUUCAGCGCCGCACGUGAGCAUCCCGCCAAGCCCCGCCAGGUGUGCUGCCCCGCCCCUGUCACCUGUCACCUGUGAUGCCACGGAGGGCGCCGCUUCACCUGUACUCACCCGGUGUGCUCCCUGGUCCUAGUGUAGAGAGAGAUAUGAGGAAGAAGAGAGUGUUGUAGAGAAAUAGAGACAGGUAGAGCAAGAUCAUUGUCCGGGAUAGCUGAUAUCUCCCCGCCAGCCUCCACGCCUUCAUCUGAUCUAGUGAAGAGAAAGAUAAGAGGGAGAAGAGAACGUUGUAGAGCAGAGAAAGUGUAGAGAAACAGAGACAGGUAGAGAGAGAUAAGUGUAUGGCAAAACUGAUCUCGUGUUGCCAGCCUCCACGCCUUCAUCUGAUCUAGUGAAGAGAAAGAUAAGAGGGAGAAGAGAACGUUGUAGAGCAGAGAAAGUGUAGAGAAACAGAGACAGGUAGAGAGAGAUAAGUGUAUGGCAAAACUGAUCUCGUGCUGCCAGCCUCCACGCCUUCAUCUGAUCAGCUGAUUGGACACAUGGGGUUAGGACAGGCUGGCUCUCUGGACACAUACGUUCUGAAGGACACGGGGGCACAGGGACACAGGGAGGGCAGCCAAGUAAGGGAGAGGAAGUGUAAGGGAGGGAGUAAGAGAAAAGUAGGGAGGGUAAUUUAUUUUUUGAGUAGCAUGUUUAAAAAUUGUGUUCAGUGUAUCAAAAGAGAUUGUCAUAGUGAUGUCUUGUUGCUUGGUCCUUUGUUUCAAGUCAAUUGUAGGCUAUACUUACCCUAGAAAUAAUAUGUUACUCUAAAUGUCUGAUUAUUAAGCUAAGAUACCAUUCUAAUGUAUUUUUCAUGUAUACUUUUUAACUUAUACAAUAAACCAUCAAGCAUUA